rnacentral:rRNA from 1 species
AUUGAACGCUGGCGGCAGGCCUAACACAUGCAAGUCGAGCGGAUGAAGGGAGCUUGCUCCUUGAUUCAGCGGCGGACGGGUGAGUAAUGCCUAGGAAUCUGCCUGCUAGUGGGGGAUAACGUCCGGAAACGGGCGCUAAUACCGCAUACGUCCUGAGGGAGAAAGUGGGGGAUCUUCGGACCUCACGCUAUCAGAUGAGCCUAGGUCGGAUUAGCUAGUUGGUGGGGUAAAGGCCUACCAAGGCGACGAUCCGUAACUGGUCUGAGAGGAUGAUCAGUCACACUGGAACUGAGACACGGUCCAGACUCCUACGGGAGGCAGCAGUGGGGAAUAUUGGACAAUGGGCGAAAGCCUGACCCAGCCAUGCCGCGUGUGUGAAGAAGGUCUUCGGAUUGUAAAGCACUUUAAGUUGGGAGGAAGGGCAGUAAGUUAAUACCUUGCUGUUUUGACGUUACCAACAGAAUAAGCACCGGCUAACUUCGUG